rnacentral:tRNA from 1 species
UUUAGGGAGACCUGCUUCGUCUUGACCGAAAUCAAAUCAUGAGGUCAGAUGCAAGUUAUCCCAGGUCGGACGAGAAUUAGUGUAGGCUUUCAAACUAUUGAUGGGUUUCGGAACAUGGGCUAUUAGCUCAGGUGGUUAGAGCGCACCCCUGAUAAGGGUGAGGUCCCUGGUUUCGAGUCCAGGAUGGCCCACCUYUACUUCCUUUUGGUAAACAGCCGUAAAAACUUGUGGCUUUUUCCCAAGUAGGGAGAAAACAAAAAAACCAAAAAAAUCUCAUCAGAUUCUGAGCGUUCACUGUGAUAGCCUAGAUAAAGUGAGUAAAAGAGUACAGCAACUGCACCAAUCAAAAAGUGGUCAGCGUGCUGGAUGUCUUACCAGCCAGAAC